CUGGGUUUUGAGUCAGAUGAAAAUGAAGAUGAAGACAGUUGGAUGGAUGAGGACAGUAGCAGUAAUGAUGAUGAUGAUGAAGAUGAGAAUGAUGAUGAAGAUGUUCAAGCUAAUAUUAAUGUGGAAGAAUCUCAAUCUCGUUUGCACGAACCUCCACAAUAUUUUAAUGAUAUAAAUUUAGAUGAUGGUGGUUGUGUUAGUGCUGAUCGAAGAUUGAAUUCUGACAAUCAAUUUUGGGACUCUUCGAUGACUGAAUUUUCUAAAGGUUUAAUGUUUGAGAGUAAAGAUAAUGUAAGGAGAGC
rnacentral:lncRNA from 1 species